rnacentral:rRNA from 1 species
AGCUCCGGCUAACUACGUGCCAGCAGCCGCGGUAAUACGUAGGGAGCAAGCGUUAUCCGGAUUUAUUGGGUGUAAAGGGUGCGUAGACGGGACAACAAGUUAGUUGUGAAAUCCCUCGGCUUAACUGAGGAACUGCAACUAAAACUAUUGUUCUUGAGUGUUGGAGAGGAAAGUGGAAUUCCUAGUGUAGCGGUGAAAUGCGUAGAUAUUAGGAGGAACACCGGUGGCGAAGGCGACUUUCUGGACAAUAACUGACGUUGAGGCACGAAAGUGUGGGGAGCAAACAGGAUUAGAUACCCUGGUAGUCCACACCGUAAACGAUGGAUACUAGGUGUAGGAGGUAUCGACCCCUUCUGUGCCGCAGUUAACACAAUAAGUAUCCCACCUGGGGAGUACGACCGCAAGGUUGAAACUCAAAGGAAUUGACGGGGGCCCGCACAAGCAGUGGAGUAUGUGGUUUAAUUCGAAGCAACGCGAAGAACCUUACCAGGGCUUGACAUAUAGAUGAAUAACUAAGAGAUUAGUUAGUCCUUCGGGACAUCUAUACAGGUGGUGCAUGGUUGUCGUCAGCUCGUGUCGUGAGAUGUUAGGUUAAGUCCUGCAACGAGCGCAACCCCUGUGAUUAGUUGCCAACAGGUUAAGCUGGGAACUCUAAUCAGACUGCCGGUGAUAAAUCGGAGGAAGGUGGGGAUGACGUCAAAUCAUCAUGCCCUUUAUGUCCUGGGCUACACACGUACUACAAUGGCUGUAACAGAGAGAAGCAACACCGCGAGGUAGAGCGAAACUCUAAAAGCAGUCUCAGUUCGGAUUGAAGGCUGAAAUUCGCCUUCAUGAAGCCGGAAUUGCUAGUAAUGGCAGGUCAGCAUACUGCCGUGAAUACGUUCCCGGGCCUUGUACACACCGCCCGUCACACCAUGAGAGUUGGGAAUACCCGAAGCCUGUGAGCCAACUGUAAAGAGGCAGCAGUCGAAGGUAGAAUCAAUGAUUGGGGUGAAGUCGUAACAAGGUAGCCGUAUCAGAAGGUGCGGCUG